rnacentral:rRNA from 1 species
GUGGGGUAACGGCCCACCAAGGCUUCGACGGGUAGCUGGUCUGAGAGGAUGUCCAGCCACACUGGGACUGAGACACGGCCCAGACUCCUACGGGAGGCAGCAGUGGGGAAUAUUGCGCAAUGGGCGAAAGCCUGACGCAGCGACGCCGCGUGAGGGAUGAAUGCCUUCGGGUUGUAAACCUCUUUCGGCAGGGACGAAGCGAAAGUGACGGUACCUGCAGAAGAAGCCCCGGCUAACUACGUGCCAGCAGCCGCGGUAAGACGUAGGGGGCGAGCGUUGUCCGGAUUUAUUGGGCGUAAAGCGCGCGUAGGCGGCCGCGCAAGUCGGAUGUGAAAACCCGGGGCUCAACCCCGGGCGUGCAUUCGAUACUGCGUGGCUUGAGACAGGUAGGGGAGAUCGGAAUUCCUGGUGUAGCGGUGAAAUGCGCAGAUAUCAGGAGGAACACCGGUGGCGAAGGCGGAUCUCUGGGCCUGUUCUGACGCUCAGACGCGAAAGCUAGGGGAGCGAACAGGAUUAGAUACCCUGGUAGUCCUAGCCGUAAACGUUGGGUGCUAGGUGUGGGGGGACAUCGACCCCUUCCGUGCCGAAGCUAACGCAUUAAGCA